ensembl:lncRNA
GUUUAUCUUCCCUCCCUGCUGUAAAACCUUCUGCCUGACGGUGAGGCAGAAGACACGAUGUAGGUCUGCAGGAACAUUUGUUCACAUGGGACCAGAGCGGGGAGAGGAAAGGCCACGUUUUGUUGCUGCCGAGGUGUCCUCCAAGACGGUUUCUGCACAGUGCAGCCAGGCAGGCAGAAGAGCCGCUGCCUCCGCUCUGCGGCCAUGGACAGCUAACUGCUAAAAACACCCCAAAAAGGCGAGCUCACUUGUCAGCCCGGGUCUCRGCAGGACCUGGGCAACUCUGAGCGAAGAGCUCUUUGAGGAGCAGAAGCCUGCCGAUACCGUGCAUUGCUGAAACAGAAACACCAACGGCUGCUGUCUGCCCAUCGCUGCCACCGAGCCUCCUCUCCCGCCCUGCUCCGGCUCGGCCGCUGCCUUCCCGGCUCCCUCUCCAGCCCGGAGGAGCCCCCAGGCCCUGAGAGACUGGGGUCUCGACUGGGAGACGCGCUGCUCUCGCCCGUGGCACGUCUGCGCGAGGACACACGCGCCUUUCCCCGCAAUGGGACGCCCCAGUGAGUCGCCCGGGCCCCUUCCCGGAUGGAUGGAUGGAUGGAUGGAUGAGUGUGGUGCCCGCACAUCCCCGGCUGCGGCACAGCGGUCCUGGAGCCGCCGGCGGGCUGCGACGACGGCGUUUGGCAGAGCAGCAACUCGGCCGCAUAGAAACACGCGCGGCAGGAUGGAGCUGGAAGAGGGGCCGCAGCAGGAGCUCGGCCGGUCGUCUGCUGCCGCCAGGUCGGACACGACGCCUCUGCCCGGAUGCGGCCUGCAGGUGGGAGACAUCAAAAUAGCCGUAGUAGAAGACAGCAGGCUAAGGCUAGUGGGGGUGGAAGCGUGCCUGGGAAUUACUCUUUUUGUUUGGCUUGCGAGGGGGGGAGAGGCGAAGCGGGCUGCCCCGGAGCGCAGGUCGGCCACCGYGCACGGCUUCGCCUCCUCGCCUCCCCGGGGAUUCACGGCUGGAGCGGCGGCCUGCGGGAACGCACGCGCCCCUGCGCCGGCGGUGCUUCCCAGCACGAAAUGCCUGGAAGAGCCCGGGCCCUGGCGACGGGCUUUACGAUGGCUGCCUGAUCCCGGUCUGGCCGUGAUCGGACACGGCAUUUUUAAGACCUUUUCUGCGGUAUCGACGGGUCCAGUUCCCAGCGGGUGAAUGAGUUUGCCAAAAGUCUGUCUGCGCGGUAAGGGCCUGCCUGGAUCCCGGCAGAGACCAGGCUUCAGCAGCUUUAGAAAUGCACCUUAUGGCCCUGGAGAUGGCCUGGGGCGUCUUGACUGCCGGCUGCAAGGAAAGGCUAUGGGCCCCCUAUUACUAGUUUUGCUAGUGGUGGUGGUGGUGGUGGUGGUGGUGGUGUUUCCUAUGGAUACAGAGAAAUGUGCUGUCUCUAGAGCGUAAUUCUGACCAUCUUGUAAACAUUACACAGAUGCAUUACACGGAUAUUUAUUAUCAUAAAAAGACACAAGGACGCCUCUAGAUGUGGGGGACACGAAUCACACCUAAUGCUGGAGGUCGGUCCAUAAUACCUUAAAUAACCAUUCGUAGUCCAAGUGCUAAUUAUCUGCUAAUGGGGUAUUAGUUCUCCUUCAGUUAUGUAAAAGAGCACAGCAUUCAGCCUGAAGAGUGAGUUUAAAUUGCUUUAUGCUGCCAGAGAGCAAACAGCCCUACAAGUUGCUUCCCUGGUUUUGGGCUGCAGGGCAUGGUGCCACUUGCGGAGGUGCUGGUGCUAAAGGGUCAUUUAAAGAAAACUUCUUGUCUGGGCUUAGCCGAGCCGGUCGGCUUGAGUCACCCUUGCAGAGCAGGCCAGGGCUGGUGGCUCCCGCGGAGGCCGGUGGCGCGUCAGGCUGCCAGGGAGCCUCCAGCCUCGUCGCAGGCGGCCAGCUGCUCCGCAAGCAGCCGAGCGCCUCGCGUGCGCCGGCUGCGCCUCCCCUGCGCUGCCCCAGACCGAGAACGUCGCGCUCGUUCCUGGGGACGAGUCCUUUGAGAAGCACCUCAGACCCCAGCCCAGUGGAAACGAAAGGAACCCAGAAAACUGGAUCACAGAGAGAGACUUGCUCUGAGCUGUGAUAAAAACAUGAAAACACGAUAUGUUUUUCUCUUGCAUAUUGCAAGUUAUUAGUAACGGUGCAACACUGUAAGUUAUCUUUACAGGAAUAUUCAGGAGACAAAUGUGUAGCAUGGAAAACUUAGUCCUAAAGGCGAUUUGUCAUGAAGUGCUGGUGCUCUGCCUGACUCCCACACCACGUCCUGGGGUGUUUAAUUGGAAAAGAAACCAAAAGGAAUACUUUUCUCAGUAAACUAUGUAUAGGGAAAAAUAUCUGUUUGUGCUUGUAGGGCAUCGCAUGACCUACGUCUUCAGCCCUGUUAUCAGUAGUGGUUAUUUUCCUGUAACUACCUGAGGGGGAGGUUGAUUCCUCUACAGAUGGAUAUUUUGUGGCAUUUCAGCUAAAUUCAGCUACAGUGUUUGACGGUAUUGUUCUAAAAGGGUUGCUAACUGCACUGCUAUCUUGAUUUUAGACUAUUAUAUGUCUUUUUUAAUGCAAGGAAAAAUGAUUAAUAGAAAUAAAUGCUCUCCCCAAACUUCCUAGAGCUGCA